AAGACCUUUCCGGGAGCCGAUAGGAGC
rnacentral:sRNA from 1 species